CCUACGGGCGACAGCAGUGGGGAAUAUUGGACAAUGGGGGGAACCCUGAUCCAGCGACGCCGCGUGAGUGAAGAAGUAUUUCGGUAUGUAAAGCUCUAUCAGCAGGGAAGAAAAUGACGGUACCUGACUAAGAAGCCCCGGCUAACUACGUGCCAGCAGCCGCGGUAAUACGUAGGGGGCAAGCGUUAUCCGGAUUUACUGGGUGUAAAGGGAGCGUAGACGGGGCAGCAAGUCUGAUGUGAAAGGUCGGGGCCCAACCCCGGGACUGCAUUGGAAACUGUGUAACUGGAGUACAGGAGGGGCAGGCGGAAUUCCUGGUGUAGCGGUGAAAUGCGUAGAUAUCAGGAGGAACACCGGCGGCGAAGGCGGCCUGCUGGACUGAAACUGACGUUGAGGCUCGAAAGCGUGGGGAGCAAACAGGAUUAGAUACCCGGGUAGUC
rnacentral:rRNA from 1 species